rnacentral:rRNA from 1 species
ACCCCUACGGGAGGCAGCAGUGAUGAGGGUGGGACAACAGGGGAAACCCUGAUCCAGCGACGCCGCGUGUGGGAUGAAUGGGUUAUGACCUGUAAACCACUGUCAGCAGAGAAGAAAAGGUUCCUUUGGAACCCGGGACUGUAUCUGCAGAGAAAGGACCGGCUAACUACGUGCCAGCAGCCGCGGUAAUACGUAGGGUGCGAGCGUUGUCCGGAAUUACUGGGUAUAAAGGGUGCGCAGGCGGUCUUGUGCGUCGAAGGUUAAAUACCAUGGCUCAACUAGGGAAAUGCCCUCGAUACGGCAAGACUUGAGUAUGAGAGAGGAAGUUGGAAUUCCUGGUGUAGCAGUGAAAUGCGUAGAUAUCAGGAGGAACACCGGUGGCGAAGGCGGUCUUCUGGGUCAUUACUGACGCUCAGGCACGAAAGCGUGGGGAGCGAACAGGAUUAGAUACCCCGGUAGUCCACGCUGUAAACGAUGUAUGCUAGAUGUUAGAUCAAAUUGUUGAUCCUAGUGCCCGGAGAUAAUUCGCU